UGCAAUCUAUUUAUUAAUAAAAAAAGUCAUGAUGAGAAUCUUAUCAAUGGAUCAUUUCAAUAAUAAUCUAUUCACAACAAUAACAUGUAUUUUACACAGCCAUACUAGCCUUCUCUUCAAUAUACAUUCAUAAGAACAUCUUGCAAUUCUUAUCAAUCAUUUUCACAUUGAUACCAAACGCAUUUAACAAUGAAGGUAGAACAACAUAGAAAGAUGGCGUCCUAUCUUUCGUAGGCCAUCCAUAGCUAUGUUAUGAAACUAAAGACAUCAUUUUGCAGCAAAAGGUCAGAACCAAAGUUCCUAAAAUCAUACUAUUCCAAAAAACUAUAUUAUCUUGUGUUGUGCUACAGAGUAAUCAUUUCUUUUGCAGUCCAUGACUAACCCUAUAGCUUUCUUCAUUUCUCUUAACAAUAAAAUUAGGUUCAAACUUCAAACUGGAUCACUCCUACUAUUACCAUAUAGCAAAACAUUUCUUCCAUAUUUAAGAGGGAUUUGUCCAUAAAUCUUUGGAAAGAAAAAACAGCAUAUAAAUUUCAAUUGCUAAACAAAACCCAACAGCUAAAACUUCAUACGCAAUUUGAAAAGAAAUGAAACAAAUAAAAAGAGGAAUAGCUGAAAUAAACCUUUGGGCCAAUCAGAGACGAUUCUUUGCUUAAGCAUAUCCACCGUGGAUGUGGCCGAGUACCGAAACGGCCCGAUAUCCGACCCGUCAUAAAGCCUGAACUUUAUAUCCACCAAAUCCUCCUCCGGCAUUUCCGCUCACUUCACCUCUUCCGACCCACAACCGACCUGCUUCCACGUGUUCAAUUAUUCUACAAACCGAUUCACCACCUUCGGCUCAUCAAAUCAAAUCCCGCCGCCUGAAUUUCCACGAGUUAAAACCCAACUGAAAAUUCAAGUAAGAUCAAAUUUAAAUACGACCCAAAAAGAAAAACAGAAAUUGAGGGAAUACAAACAGAGGAUCAAAACUCAACCUGAAAUUUUGUGUAGUAGUUGGUUAAUUUGAAGCUCCCUCUUGAAGGUUUUUAUUUAUUUUUUAAUAUUUUUUCUAUGGCUGUUUUUAAAAGAUUGGCGUUUGGUGAACUGAAGAGGACAAAAAAGUCUUGCCAUCUCCCAAACGCCCCAACCGCUCCACCAAAACGAGGUCGUUUGGGUCGUGGUUUCGUUUCGAAAGCGGUAGAAACGUCUUUGUCUUCACUCUUUUAGUACGCCGUCGUUUAGGUCGAGUUCCCCCCACUCUUCGUUUUUGUCACUUUUCGAGCGUAGAAUAAUUCAAAAAUAAUCCCAGCAGAAGAACGGAAAAAAGACAUGAAAAGAACGAGAGGAAAGGAAGGGGAUGAAGAAGAAAAAGAGGAAGAGAAAAACAAAAAGAAGAUGGGGAUUGUUUGGCAAACUACAGCUCAUCCUGCUCAUAAAGACGAUUAUAUUUUUCACAACGGUAGAUUUAAUUUAAAAAAAAAAGAAAGCAAUUGAUGUUAGUAAGUAAACCAAACAGAGGCUCCAUCUUUUGACGUGUAUUUCGCAGGCUGCGCCACGUACGACCGUGCUACUUCGAGUUCGUAUCUCAUGUUAGUUUCUUUCUCUUUAAUUUUUCUGAUUUCUGUUGUUAACAAAUCUUUUAAACCCUAAUUGUGCUUGUUUUCUCAGAAAGUACGAUUUUUUGUGGUUGAGUUUGCGCAGGUUAAUAAACGAUGGGAGGGAAAAACAAUCGUGGAUUUGUUCACUCAAGAAUUUAGAGGCCGACCAAAUGAUUACUCUGUAAUUUUCAAUACUCUUUCCUUUUCCUUUUUUUUUUUGAGCUUAAAUCCUUAAUGAUAUCAUAGCCUCAAUAUUUGUUGGUUAAUUUGUAUUAAUUGAUGAGUAGGUGAUUGAAAUGUGUUACAAGUUCCAAGCAAACUCCUUUAUUGGAGUUUUUCUUGCAGUUGCUUCCUUUGCCUGUAUCUAUCUUUGCAUAUGUUUGAAUAUUCACCUUUUCAGUUAUUUUGGAGUGUUGUAGGUUAGUGCUGUCAAAUGUGGACGUAUACAAGUUGAUGGAGAGAAUAUACCUGUUUCAUACAAAAGUUAAACGAUGUCAGAAGAUAAGCCACUUUGUCCACAGGUUCAUCACAUUUACAUUAAAUGUUGCUCCCAUGGAAUUUCACUAGAUCUCUAUGAUAAAAGGCUUUUUUUUUGGGAAUAAUUUUUCACCUUUUUACAUUUAACGAGCAAUAAUUCUUUUUUGGUUAUACAUGCAUUGAUUGGAAAAUCUUUUAAUUUUUCAAAUUUUAGUUUGACUUUUCUACAGUGUUUGUUUGCUCUGUUUAAAUUAGGUUCUUUUCUUUGCUUUAUGAUUUUGUUUUGAAGUUAUAAAACUUGUAAUUGAUGCUGCAAAGGUUGUAGGCAGGAACCCCCAGUGAUGGCUUGGGAUGUUCCAAUUCUUCAAAACGAACCUGAUGUACUGACGGUUUGCAAACCAGCAUCUGUCCCUGUACGUCUUUGGUGAAGCGUAUUUCUUUUGACAUUAUGAGUAUGUAUGGUUGUCGGGGGUGUUUCAACAAUGUGCUUAUUCAUUGGAUGAUGAGAGGAGGAACCUUUCUCCACUCUUACAAUGUGUUGUGUGCAACACUGUCCUGUUUUUUUGGGGCUUGUGGUGGAGACUAAUUCAAUUCCUAAUGUUUUGUGGUCAAUAUCGUAACAACACAGUUUUGGGCAUUCUCCAAGCAGAGCAUGGGUUGGCUCCUCUGUAUCGUAUCCAAACCUAGCUCCUAAUGGAGCAAAUAUUUAACUGUAAAUGAAGGCUACUUUUGUACUUUCUGUAUGCAAAUUAAAUCUGUUUUCAGUUUUCUUUCUGGUAAAGUUCUAAAAGCCGGGUUUUCUGCUUUUCCCUUGACAUAAUCAUGCCAGCCAUUCAUCGACUAGAUCGUCUGGUCUCGGUGCUGCUCAUCGUGGCCAAAAAUCCAGCUAAAGCUGACAUUUUUAGGCAACAUGUAAGUCUUCCAUGAUCUUUUCUUGUUUUUUGGUUUUUGAGUGGAAGAGAAAUAAAAAUAGAAGAAAUUUUUGGCAGUUUUGCUUCAAAGUGGAACUUGGUGUUAUAACUAUGUUGGUAACAAGAAAUACACGACUGGCAUAAUUUUCCAUUAGAUAUGCCUACCAAAAAUCCUUUUAGCAACAUGGCUCUAUGUUUUUGCUGUAUUCCAUAAUUUGGUAGAAUGAUAUCUAUGGACACUAGCUGUUCUAUCCUAUCUAUCAAAGAUAAAAAUGCUCUGUUUUAUCAAUUAUCAAUAUGCUUGAUAUGGAAUUUUAAGAGUCUUUACUUACCAAAUCAGUAUGAUUCUGUGUAUAUUUUUGGUUUUGUAAACUGAACUUUUUUUCAAUUGAAUCUGAAUGUGAUGGUUGCAGAUUGAAGCUGGACUGGUGCAGAAACAGUAUGUUGCAAAGGUCAUUGGAGUAUUUCCGGAGUGUGAGGUGUAUAACAUUGUUUAAGCUAGACGAUUCAUGUAAUUUGUAUUCAAAUUUGAAUUUUUCUGUUUGUUCAAACUUGAUUCAGUGCAUAGAUGAUCAGAUGCAAGUGCAUAGCUGAUCAGAUGCUUAAGUCCAUAGGAGCUUAUUACCUUUUGAUUGCAUUAGAAAAUCUGCCAAUCUGUUGGUUGACCUUUUUUGUGUCAUGCUUUUUCCAUAAGGAAAAGUGACAAGGAAUAGCUUUUUAAUAUACAUAUUUGUAUUAUAACAAUAUAGUUCACACUGAUUUAUUUUAAGACUUAGAUCGCCAUUGAUGAAAUUUCCUUGACACGUUUAGCUCACGGAAUGCAAUAGAAAGAAUAAAGUAAUUAUUUCGUAAAAUAAAUUAAAAUAAAAAUAAUUAUUACAUAAUUUAACUCGUAAAAUAAAAUUGUCAUAAUUUUCAUUAACUAAAAUAAUUUUAUAUUAAUAAAAAAAUUGGUUAUAGAAAGACAAAAUUACCAUUGAUUAUAAUUUAUUAUUUUUAAUUUAAAAUAUUAAUUUUUUUGAUAAUAUAUAAUUAAACCUUUAAUAUGAUUAUUUAUUUUUAAGUUUUAAUUUUUUUUAAUAAUUUAUAAUUAAAACUUUAGUUUUUUUCACUUUAUAAUAAAAUAUUAGUAACUUCUAAUUAUGUAAAAUAUAAUUUCUAAUUUUAAUUUCAUUUUUAUUUUUUCUUUUUUUUUCUUUUCUUUACCCUUUUGUUGCUUGGCCACUAGAGAUAUGGCUGGCGCUCCAUUGUGCCGAUCUGGCGCUCCCCAUAGCCAUAGCCGCCAUCCUCUGGUAGCAGCGGAGGAAGUUUAGAAAGAGAAGUGAGGUGGAUGAGUAAGAUAGGAAAAAAAGAAAAAAAAUAAAAGGUUUUUAUAUGUUCGGGUUAGGUUUUAUUAUAUAUAUAAUAGUUAAAGGGCAUUUUUGUUCAAAAACUUUGGGUCUAUUCUCAGUCACGCGAGAUAGCUAUUACUGGGGGGGAUGGUAUAGCUAUUCCGGCUUCUCUCAGAAUGGCCAUUCCAGGAGUCAAACUCAAGCAUACGAGGGGGGCAGGAUACCCCAACCAAAAAUGCAGUUAGUAUCAUCACUCCAUUAAAAGAACUUGUACAGAUGGACUUUCCAACAAACACACAAGGGAUACUCAGAGACGAUGUUCCUGCUCCUAAACAUUGUUACCAGCAUCACAAUUUUCCAACCCUAACAUGUUUGCCUUCAUAAAAUGGAACAUGAGCAUACAAUCUUUCUGGGUGAAUCAUCAAUCUUCUUUUCUGUUCAGAUAGAAAACCAAGCAUAAGACUAUAAGUCGAUAUAUGAAAUUUUAAGAAACUACAAAACAACACAGUCAAUGUUAUUUAGAUGGUUAUAACUUAGCUAAAGUUCUACUGAAUACUUUAAGUAAAGGUACACUAUUAUUAUUAUACAGAGUCAGAGACAAUAGACCUUCAAGACAAAAUACAAUCUGAUGGUAACUAAUGGCUUCUGGAGUUUUGUGGAAUUUAUCAGUGUGAAUUGUAGAACGAUACAAAAAUGGCUAGGAGGAUCUCUUGGUAAUGAAUAAAGGAAAAGGAAAAGAUGGCCUCUGGUAGGUUGCGCAUAACUCAUGCAGCAUGCUCAUUAAUGAAGUCUAAACAACAGUUCUCACUUCCACAUAUUCCUCCUAACACACACACAUGCGCGCGCAAAAGGAAUUAGUUUUUAAAAUAAUUAAGCAAAUAAUGAAACUCCUCCAUCUGCGGAUUACACAUCACACCCAUCAGAAAGGCAACAUUAGACGCCCAUCCAAACACUGGUUACCACUUAUAAGCAAUUCCAAGUAGUGGGCUUAGCUACUAAUACUACAAGUGCAGAUCCAUGUCAAACAGUUGACAUCCUGACGUCCAAUUUACUGAGCAAGCUAAGCUUACAUGUCAAGAAGGAAGUGAUAGUGGAACAACAUAAUUCUACGAUAAGAAUCUUAAGACAAAGAUAGAGAAUACCUGUUUUAGUUUUUGAAAGAGAUGGCUGUACUACAACAUGCAUUAUGAUAACCGCACCUGCAACUUCACCAAAGGGUACUUUACACUGACCAACAGUCUUGCUGUUCUCCAAAAUUUUACCAGAGCUUAUCAGUUUGACUUCAUUCACUGCCUUUGGGAUAAUUGUCUUACCUAAGGAAGGGCAGAAAGAGCUUUGAAGAAAAUUAAAACAAAAUGCUUGAAACUAUUAGCCUUUAUGCUACCUUCUGGGUCUAUAAAUUGAAAAAAAAAGGCUGAAGAUUGUCGAUAGAUGUAGGCAACAAGACAAUGGAGCAAUAGCUGAUGCAUUCUUUAAGGAUUUUAGAUGAUAUUUCAAACAAAAUCAUCAUCAUCAUCAUCUUUCUCUCUGAAAUCUAUUUAUUAAUAAACAAAGUCAUGAUGAGAAUCUUAUCAAUGAGUCAUUUCAAUAAUAAUCUAUUCACAACAAUAACAUGUAUUUUACACAGCCAUACUAGCCUUCUCUCCGAAUAUAUAUUCAUAAGAACAUCUUGAAAUUCUUAUCAAUCAUUUUCACAUUGAUACCAAACGCAUUUAACAAUGAAGGUAGAACAACAUAGAAAGAUGAUGUCCUAUCUUUCUUAGGCCAUCCAUAGCUAUGUUAUGAAGCUAAAGACAUCAUUUUGCAGCAAAAGGUCAGAACCAAAGUUCCUAAAAUCAUACUACUCCAAAAAACUAUAUUAUCUUGUGUUGUGCUACAGAGUAAUCAUUUCUUUUGCAGUCCAUGACUAACCCUAUAGCUUUCUUCAUUUCUCUUAACAAUAAAAUUAGGUUCAAACUUCAAACUGGAUCACUCCUACUAUUACCAUAUAGCAAAACAUUUCUUCCAUAUUUAAGAGGGAUUUGUCCAUAAAUCUUUGGAAAGAAAAAACAGCAUAUAAAUUUCAAUUGCUAAACAAAACCCAACAGCUAAAACUUCAUACGCAAUUUGAAAAGAAAUGAAACAAAUAAAAAGAGGAAUAGC
rnacentral:lncRNA from 1 species